rnacentral:tRNA from 1 species
GGAGAGGUGCCCGGAGCGGCUUAUCGGGGACCGGGGCAGCAGCCCGAGGUCGGACCCACACCAGGUCCACGCAGGUUCAAAUCCUGCCCUCUCCGCCA